CAGAGUUAUUUAAACUCCCAACCCUAUGUGAACCUACUUAUGUUGCCUCGGCAGGGAAGCUACCCGGUACCUACCCGGGAGCGCUUACCUGUCAAAGGACCUUCUAAACUCUUGUUUUACUGUGGCACUCUGAGCGAUUCAAAACUAAAUAAGCUAA
rnacentral:misc_RNA from 1 species